rnacentral:rRNA from 1 species
AGAAUCAACGCUGGCGGCGUGCCUAACACAUGCAAGUCGAACGAGAAAGUGGAGCAAUCCAUGAGUAAAGUGGCGACCGGGUGAGUAACACGUGACUAACCUACCUUCGAGUGGGGGAUAACCUAGGGAAACCUGGGCUAAUACCGCAUAACAUCUUUGGAUCGGAAGAACUGGAGAUCAAAGGGGCAAUUCGCUUGAAGAGGGGGUCGCGGCUGAUUAGCUAGUUGGCGGGUAAUGGCCCACCAAGGCUUUGAUCGGUA